CUGAAAUCAUGGCUGCUGCAUGCUGGUGAGUGAACUGAACUUAGUGAACAUGAGCAGCAUUGUGGAUCGGGACUAAUCAGAAUUGUAAUCCUGUAUAUUGAAGUGUUGUAUAAAUCACCAUAAUCGUAAACAAUGGAGAAGAUGAAUCAUGAUGAUCCCUUUGAUCUCAAAAAGCCAAAGAAAUCAGAGAAAAAGGGAAAAUGUCCUAGCAUGAUGAGAAAAUAGCGAACAGUGCUAUUGCCUCACAUAGAGAAACCAGUAAGGAGAAUGAUGCAUUUUCAGGGAAAAUGUCCAAGCAUGAUGAGAAAAUAGGGAACAGUGCCAUUGUCUCACUUAGAGAAGCCAGUGAGGAGACUGAUGCAUUUUCAGGGAAAAUGUCCAAGCAUGAUGAGAAAAUAGGGAACAGUGCCAUUGUCUCACUUAGAGAAGCCAGUGAGGAGAAUGAUGCAUUUUCAGGGAAAAUGUUCAAGCAUGAUGAGAAACUGCACCAUUGUUUCACUUACAGAAGCCAAUGUUGAGGAUGAUGCAUGUUCAGGGAAAUGUCUAAGCAAGGGACAGGAUAUUGCAGUCAAUGACUGUGAUUCAUCUUAUAAUACAAAAGUUGGAGAUACGCUCCUGCAGGUAUGAGCAGAAUUUAUAAUUUGUAAAUGAA